UUCAGUAAGUUGACGUAGACCCGAAACCAGGUGACCUAUCCAUGUCCAGGUUGAAGGUGCGGUAAAGCGCACUGGAGGACCGAACCCGUGUAUGUUGAAAAAUGCUGGGAUGAGGUGUGGAUAGCGGUGAAAUUCCAAACGAACUUGGAGAUAGCUGGUUCUCUCCGAAAUAGCUUUAGGGUUAGCCUCGGAGUUAAGAAUCGUGGAGGUAGAGCCACUGUUUGGACUAGGGGCCCGUCAUGGGUUACUGAAUUCAGAUAAACUCCGAAUGCCACUGAUUUAUAUCCGGGAGUCAGACGAUGAGUGAUAAGAUCCACCGUCGAAAGGGGAACAGCCCAGACCACCAAUUAAGGUCCCUAAAUACAUGCUGAGUGGAAAAGGAUGUGGAGUUGCAUAGACAGCUAGGAUGUUGGCUCAGAAGCAGCCACCAUUUAAAGAGUGCGUAAUAGCUCACUAGCCGAGUGAUCCUGCGCCGAAAAUAUACCGGGGCUAAGCAUGUUACCGAAAUUGUGGAUGUGACCAUUAGGUCACGUGAUAGGAGAGCGUUCUAAGGGCAACGAAGCCAGAUCGUAAGGACUGGUGGAGCGCUUAGAAGUGAGAAUGCCGGUAUGAGUAGCGAAAGAUCAGUGAGAAUCUGAUCCACCGAAUGACUAAGGUUUCCUGGGGAAGGCUCGUCCUCCCAGGGUUAGUCGGGACCUAAGCCGAGGCUGAGAAGCGUAGGCGAUGGAUAACAGGUUGAUAUUCCUGUACUAGUUAAUUAUGUUUGAACGAUGGAGGGACGCAGUAGGCUACGGUAUGCGCACGAUUGGAAAUGUGCGUUCAAGCGUCAAGUCUGGUGAUGAGUCAAAUGCUUAUCGCUAAGGACAAGGCGUGACGAGGACCGAAUUUUAGUAGGGAAGUGCCAGAUGUCACACUGCCGAGAAAAGCUUCUAGUUAGUAAUUAAUUACCCGUACCGCAAACCGACACAGGUAGUCGAGGAGAGUAUCCUAAGGUGAGCGAGUGAACUCUCGUUAAGGAACUCGGCAAAAUGACCCCGUAACUUCGGGAGAAGGGGUGCUACACGCAAGUGUAGCCGCAGUGAAAAGGCCCAGGCGACUGUUUAUCAAAAACACAGGUUUCUGCAAAAUCGUAAGAUGACGUAUAGGGGCUGACGCCUGCCCGGUGCUGGAAGGUUAAGUGGAUGAGUUAGCUUCGGCGAAGCCCAGAAAUGAAGCCCCAGUAAACGGCGGCCGUAACUAUAACGGUCCUAAGGUAGCGAAAUUCCUUGUCGGGUAAGUUCCGACCCGCACGAAAGGCGUAACGAUCUGGGCACUGUCUCAACGAGAGACUCGGUGAAAUUAUAUUACCUGUGAAGAUGCAGGUUACCCGCGACAGGACGGAAAGACCCCAUGGAGCUUUACUGUAGCUUGAUAUUGGGUGUUGACACAGCUUGUACAGGAUAGGUCGGAGCCGUAGAACUCGGAACGCUAGUUUCGAGUGAGGCGC
rnacentral:rRNA from 1 species